AAUACAUCAUCAAAUUGUCUUCAUCUUCCCCACUAGACUCAUUCAAAUCCACAAAGUUAGGCAUAUCAACCUUGACAGACAUAUUAGUAACAUUAUGCUCAACAAAAAUUUGUCCAUCAAUUCCUUCACCCACAGCAUAGAUGGCAAUCUCAUCUGCAAUGCUGUCUAGAUCAACUUGAACAAAGUCAUUCUCAAUCCUAUCCAUUUUACACCACAGCCUAAUCUCAUGGUCUUGAUAACCCCAGCUACACACAAGUUGCCUAAUAACACCUACUUUCCAAGCAUCUGGAACUAAGUCAGACACAAGGGUUUUAACC
rnacentral:lncRNA from 1 species